rnacentral:rRNA from 1 species
AUUGAACGCUGGCGGCAUGCCUUACACAUGCAAGUCGAACGGCAGCGGGGGAGAAGCUUGCUUUUCCUGCCGGCGAGUGGCGAACGGGUGAGUAAUACAUCGGAACGUGCCCUGUAGUGGGGGAUAACUAGUCGAAAGAUUAGCUAAUACCGCAUACGACCUGAGGGUGAAAGGGGGGGACCGCAAGGCCUCAUGCUAUAGGAGCGGCCGAUGUCUGAUUAGCUAGUUGGUGGGGUAAAGGCCUACCAAGGCGACGAUCAGUAGCUGGUCUGGGAGGACGAUCAGCCACACGGGGACGGAGACACGGCCCAGACUCCUACGGGAGGCAGCAGUGGGGAAUUUUGGACAAUGGGCGAAAGCCUGAUCCAGCAAUGCCGCGUGUGUGAAGAAGGCCUUCGGGUUGUAAAGCACUUUUGUCCGGAAAGAAAUGGCUCUGGUUAAUACCUGGGGUCGAUGACGGUACCGGAAGAAUAAGGACCGGCUAACUACGUGCCAGCAGCCGCCGCCG